CCUACGGGAGGCAGCAGUGGAGAAUAUUGGGCAAUGGAGGCAACUCUGACCCAGCAACGCCGCGUGAAUGAUGAAGGUCUUCGGAUUGUAAAGUUCUGUGAUGGGGGAUGAACACAAUGACGGUACCCCAAUAGCAAGCCACGGCUAACUACGUGCCAGCAGCCGCGGUAAUACGUAGGAGGCAAGCGUUAUCCGGAAUGACUGGGCGUAAAGGGUGCGUAGGUGGUUUGACAAGUUGGUAGCGUAACUCCGGGGCUCAACCUCGGCACUACUACCAAAACUGUCGGACUUGAGUGCAGGAGGGGCAAAUGGAAUUCCUAGUGUAGCGGUGGAAUGCGUAGAUAUUAGGAGGAACACCAGUGGCGAAGGCGAUUUGCUGGACUGUAACUGACACUGAGGCACGAAAGCGUGGGGAGCAAACAGGAUUAGAUACCCCAGUAGUC
rnacentral:rRNA from 1 species